CGAGCGCAACCCCUACGUUUAGUUGCUAACGCGUGAAGGCGAGCACUCUAGACGAACUGCCGUUGACAAACGGAGGAAGUGGGAUGACGUCAAUCAUCAUGCCCCUUAUGUUCUGGGCUACACACGUGCUACAAUGGCCGGUACAGACGGACGCAAAGCCGCGAGGUGGAGCAAAUCCUAAAAAGCCGGUCUCAGUUCGGAUUGCAGGCUGCAAUUCGCCUGCAUGAAGUCGGAAUCGCUAGUAAUCGCAGGUCAGCAUACUGCGGUGAAUACGUUCCCGGGCCUU
rnacentral:rRNA from 1 species